rnacentral:rRNA from 1 species
GACGUAGGGCGCGAGCGUUGUCCGGAAUUAUUGGGCGUAAAGAGCUCGUAGGCGGCUUGUUGCGUCGACUGUGAAAGCCCGCGGCUUAACCGCGUGGUCGGCAGUCGAUACGGGCAGGCUAGAGUUCGGUAGGGGAGACUGGAAUUCCUGGUGUAGCGGUGAAAUGCGCAGAUAUCAGGAGGAACACCGAUGGCGAAGGCAGGUCGCUGGGACGUAACUGACGCUGAGACGCGAAAGCGUGGGGAACAAACAGG